UUAAGACAUACAUGCUCUUUGAUCUCUCAUUUAUUAAUGUUAAAUACAUUAAGACUGAUCAUCAUCCAUCUUCUUGUUUAUUAAUGUCCAUCCUUGGGGCACUUUUACACUGAUAUGUUUUUCCUUGCAAGAAAAAGGUUUCCCUUUUUAAACCCUAUGGGAUUUUUCACACCACUGCAUUACAGAUGCAGUGCGUUUUGAAAAGUCCUGCAUGCUGCAUCUUUGGUGCAGUUUUGAAAACUGCACAAAAAACGCAGCUUCCCAUUGAAAUGAAUGGCAAUUGUGGUAAAAACGCACUGCGAUUUUGUGUGUUUGGUGCUUUUUUGAGUCGCAUGUCUACCUUUCACAGGUGCAGGCAACUUAGAAAUGCACAGCAAACACAUCUGAAGCACAGCAAAAUUGUCGUAAAAACGCAUAUGCAUUUUUAACACGAUUUUGCGACAGAGCAGUGUGAAAGGACUCCAAGUCCCAGCAAUGCUACUUUUGAUUUCAAACUAUACUGACAAUCUGUAUGCUGUGUUUUUUUUUUUGUAUUGUUUCACUGGUCGAAUGUUGCAGCCAUUUUCAUUGUUGCAUAAAAAAAAAUUAUCAAACGGUAAAUAAGAUUAUACCAGUAGUAUUGGCUAAGGCAGAUUUGCAUUAAUUAGUGUCCUGCAUUAAUUAUCUUGCAUGUGAAGAAAAUGGAGAACUAUUAACAUCCCUCAAGGUGUUUUGCACUGCUGUUCUGUUUUUUCGUUUUUUUUUUUUUUUUUUUUCUUUAAGGCACCAGCCUUUUGCUGUUUGUUUAGGCUCCGUUCACAUCUAGGCGUUGCUAUUUUCCAGGCGUUUUUUUUUUGGCGCUUUUGCACAGGCGUUUUGAAGUUCAAAAUGUUACCAAUGUAAAAGCAGUAAAACGCCUGUAAUCUGCCAAAAAACAAGCUCCUGUACUUUUUUGAGCAACAGGCGUUUUGCUUUCGGCGAUACAGAACGCUCAGAUGUGAACAGGGGUCAUAGAAAUCGAUAGGAUUUGUCUUGUUGGGUGUUUUUAGAGCUGAGGCUUGGAGCAGAAAAACAACCAAAAAUGCCAAGAUGUGAAUAGAACCUAAGAGAAGACCUGGCAUGUCUUAUUUAAUUGGACUAUCCAAAUUAUAACAUACCGUUUUCAAACCUUUAAUGCAGUGGCUUUAACCAGUGACCAGGACUGCUCUGCUCAUUACUGGGUGCCUUUUCCACUAUCAAAAUGUUGCUGUCUAUAGACAUACUAUCAGCCUGAUGCAUGGACUAGAGGAAAAAAUGGAGGCGGUAUGCUGGCUUCACACAGUCAGAUUUUGUUCCAAAUUUUUUAAUUAUAGUAGACUUAUCCUAGAAAAAAAGAUCUCUACCACCACUUCUGGUUCUCGGACAUAAGGACUUAAUUAAGUAAAAAUGGCAAAAAAAUUUAUCUUUUUGACGCCACAUCUCUCAAUAAAGAUGACCUGUCAUGUUCCUUUCUAUUGCAAGGAAUAUUUACAUUUCUUAUAAUACAAAUAAAAGUGAUCAAAACAAAUAAAGGGACAGUGUAAAAAAAAAAAAA